GCACUUCGAUUUUUGUUUCUUCAUUUUUUCAGAAGAACCCAAACGAAGAUUUUCCCUUCCCGGCUGUGACAAAUCAGAGCACACAUCAACCUCGUGAUGGGUAGGGAUGCUAGCGAGGAUGAUGAAGCACAGGCCAGAGCUCGAGCAAUGGGAUUAACAGUUGGAACAGCUCCCUCAUUUAGAAGCGCUGAACGUGCUGCGAAACGUAGGGAGUACUACAUGAAAUUGGAGCAAAAGCAGCAAGCUUUGGAGGCAGAAAAGAUAGAAUCCGAAAUGAGAGCCAAGG